rnacentral:lncRNA from 1 species
GUACGCCACUUUGGCUUGCAAAUGAUCACUUUUGCUAUUUUCGAGGCCAAACUGGAAUGCUGGAGUUCUAAAUUCUGCGUAUCCCUUCUUGCAUGUGUCUUGUUGUCGACUUGCGCCAUCUUUCCCUGUGUUUCAGGCCUCACAAGAUUAAAACUUGGUAAGAAAGUAGACACGGAAGUGUGUCUCUGUCCAGUUCCACCUAAACUGUGCUGGCAGAAACUUUGGCUCCUGCUGCUUAGCUCCUUCAGCGACCUGCGAGUCUGUCUCACGAAAAGAUACCGACCGCCAUCUUGAAUUUCUAAGCACUAAACACGAAGAGAUAUGCUUCAGACCCUCUGAGCCCCUUUGUCUGCGUGGAACGGGUCUCUAGUCGCGGGUGGACAAAGCGUAGGAUGAGUGACAAACAGACGCACACAGGAGAGGUCGAGGAAUCUGAAUGUCAUUUUUCAAAUCGAGCAUCAGACUUUUUAUGCAGAAGACAAUAAGGAAGUUGGAUGACAUACCUGCAAGGUACAAAUGAGCUUUCCCAGAUAUCUCUGAAGAUACCAUUUUGAAUAGGACUCACAUCACUCACUGCCUUGGUAGGGUCAUCUUUGUUCCACAAGAGGAAAACUGUCCACGAGAGGGUGGAGAUCACUCUGGCCAUGCAUAAUCAGAUUAACAUCAACGGUCCUUUACUCUGAAGAAGCCAUGGAGACCCCUCUUGCUGAUUAAGCCAGCUCAGGCUCCUGUGGAUGCUAUGGCCCUGGGCACUGAGCCCAGCAUCUGAACUUGUUCCUGGACCAGAGGUUCGAGAUGUCCACUUCUGAGGCCAUUUACUUCUUUGUGGGCCACCAGCUGUU